rnacentral:rRNA from 1 species
UUGAACGCUGGCGGCAUGCCUUACACAUGCAAGUCGAACGGCAGCACGGGUGCUUGAACCUGGUGGCGAGUGGCGAACGGGUGAGUAAUACAUCGGAACAUGUCCUGUAGUGGGGGAUAGCCCGGCGAAAGCCGGAUUAAUACCGCAUACGAUCUACGGAUGAAAGCGGGGGACCUUCGGGCCUCGCGCUAUAGGGUUGGCCGAUGGCUGAUUAGCUAGUUGGUGGGGUAAAGGCCUACCAAGGCGACGAUCAGUAGCUGGUCUGAGAGGACGACCAGCCACACUGGGACUGAGACACGGCCCAGACUCCUACGGGAGGCAGCAGUGGGGAAUUUUGGACAAUGGGCGAAAGCCUGAUCCAGCAAUGCCGCGUGUGUGAAGAAGGCCUUCGGGUUGUAAAGCACUUUUGUCCGGAAAGAAAUCCUUGGCCCUAAUACGGUCGGGGGAUGACGGUACCGGAAGAAUAAGCACCGGCUAACUACGUG